UUCCACAAGUUAAUCUGCAUUCCUGGUGGGAUGGUGCCACCGUGGUGGGUGAGAUCCCCUCCACUGGGCUGUUCAGUGGCACCUGAACAGGGAGAUGGUGCUGGCUCAGCUGGUGGACUUGAUGAUCUUAAAGGGCUUUUCCAGUCUUAAGGAUUCAAGGAUUCUGUGAUUUUAGUUUCCAGCUGACGCUGGGGAGGCUCCAGGAGGUUCUGCACUGAGGCACUGGGAGGUUUCAGUGCUGGCAGAAUUCCUGAUCCACUCACAGGAUCCAGCUUUCACAGAGGAUUUGUUUUGAAGUGAAAAAGGAACAUCCCAGAUGGGAAUUUGGCCCUGCUGAUUAUGCCUUAUCCUGCCCCGUUUCUCAGGCCAAGGUCUGAGACACCAGGCAGGGAGGAAUUAAUUAAUUAACUUUCACCAACAAAGGGAUUUACCC